AGGCCAUAUCACGCUCAAGCACCGGUUCUCGUACGAUCACCAAAGUUAAACAACGUCGAGCUUGGUCAGUACCUCGAUGGGUGACUGCUUCGGAAUACAAGGUGUUGUAA